rnacentral:rRNA from 1 species
UACAGAGGUCUCAAGCGUUGUUCGGAUUCAUUGGGCGUAAAGGGUGUGUAGGUGGCGCGCUAAGUCGGGUGUGAAAUUUCGGAGCUUAACUCUGAAACUGCAUUCGAUACUGGCGUGCUUGAGGACUGGAGAGGAGACUGGAAUUCAUGGUGUAGCAGUGAAAUGCGUAGAGAUCAAGAGGAAGACCAGUGGCGAAGGCGGGUCUCUGGACAGUUCCUGACACUGAGACACGAAGGCCAGGGGAGCAAACGGG